rnacentral:rRNA from 1 species
CACGGGGGGAGCAAGCGUUGUUCGGAAUCACUGGGCGUAAAGGGCGUGUAGGCGGUCAGGUAAGUGGGAUGUGAAAUCCCUCGGCUCACCCGAGGACCGGCAUCUCAUACUGCUUGGCUUGAGUACGGGAGAGGAUGUGGGGAUUCCUGGUGUAGCGGUGAAAUGCGUAGAUAUCAGGAGGAACACCGGUGGCGAAGGCGCACAUCUGGCCCGAUACUGACGCUGAGGCGCGAAAGCUAGGGGAGCAAACGGG